GAUGAACGCUGGCGGCGUGCUUAACACAUGCAAGUCGAACGGAGUGCCUUUGAAGGAGGAUUCGUCCAAUUGAUAAGGUUACUUAGUGGCGGACGGGUGAGUAACGCGUGAGGAACCUGCCUUGGAGUGGGGAAUAACACAGUGAAAAUUGUGCUAAUACCGCAUAAUGCAACGGAAUCGCAUGAACUCUGUUGCCAAAGAUUUAUCGCUCUGAGAUGGCCUCGCGUCUGAUUAGCUAGUUGGCGGGGUAACGGCCCACCAAGGCGACGAUCAGUAGCCGGACUGAGAGGUUGGCCGGCCACAUUGGGACUGAGACACGGCCCAG
rnacentral:rRNA from 1 species